rnacentral:rRNA from 1 species
GAUGAACGCUAGCGGCAGGCUUAACACAUGCAAGUCGAGGGGCAGCGCGGGGUAGCAAUACUCUGGCGGCGACCGGCGAAAGGGUGAGUAACGCGUGAGCAACGUGCCCGUAUGUGGGGGAUAGUCAUUAGAAAUGAUGCGUAAUACCCCGUAACACAAGGAAUCGCAUGGUUCUUUGUUGAAAGAUUUAUUGCAUACGGAUCGGCUCGCGUGCCAUUAGGUAGACGGCGGGGUAACGGCCCACCGUGCCGACGAUGGCUAGGGGUUCUGAGAGGAAGGUCCCCCACAUUGGAACUGAGACACGGUCCAGACUCCUACGGGAGGCAGCAGUGAGGAAUAUUGGACAAUGGCCGGAAGGCUGAUCCAGCCAUGCCGCGUGCGGGAAGACGGCCCUAUGGGUUGUAAACCGCUUUUGCGGGGGAGCAAUAAGGUCCACGCGUGGACUGAUGAGAGUACCCUGCGAAUAAGCAUCGGCUAACUCCGUGCCAGCAGCCGCGGUAAUACGGAGGAUGCAAGCGUUAUCCGGAUUUAUUGGGUUUAAAGGGUGCGCAGGCGGCUUGUUAAGCGGGAGGUGAAAUGCCGGCGCUCAACGUCGGAAGUGCCUCCCGAACUGGUGAGCUUGAAUGACUCUGCCGUGGGAGGAAUGUGUAGUGUAGCGGUGAAAUGCUUAGAGAUUACACAGAACACCGAUUGCGAAGGCAUCUCACGAAGGGUUGAUUGACGCUGAGGCACGAAAGCGUGGGGAUCAAACA